GAUGAACGCUGGCGGCGUGCUUAACACAUGCAAGUCGAACGGAAAGGCCCAAGCUUGCUUGGGUACUCGAGUGGCGAACGGGUGAGUAACACGUGGGUGAUCUGCCCUGCACUUCGGGAUAAGCCUGGGAAACUGGGUCUAAUACCGGAUAGGACCACAUUUUGGGUGGUGUGGUGGAAAGUUUUUCGGUGUGGGAUGAGCUCGCGGCCUAUCAGCUUGUUGGUGGGGUAAUGGCCUACCAAGGCGUCGACGGGUAGCCGGCCCCCGAGGGGGUACGGCCACAUUGGGACUGAGAGACGGCCCAGAGUCCUACGGGAGGCAGCAGUGGGGAAUAUUGCACAAUGGGCGCAAGCCUGAUGCAGCGACGCCGCGUGGGGGUUGACGGCCUUCGGGUUGUAAACUCCUUUCGCUAGGGAAGAAGCGUUUUUGUGACGGUACCUGGAGAAGAAGCACCGGCUAACUACGUG
rnacentral:rRNA from 1 species